UAUGGGACCAGGUUAGUCUGGAACUCAGUCACAUCCACAUUCAGGGCUCCAUCAAACCUCAAAGAUGCGGUAAGAGAUGAGAUAACCUGAAUCAUACAUGCCAAAACACCACAUGUAUGAAUAACAAUCAUUAAACUUCAUAACAUAAAGACGAGUAUUUUAGUAAAAAUGCUUAUAGUUACCUGAGAGACAAGGCGGUUAAGAUUCGUAUAAGUGGGUCGUUCAAUGUCCAAAGAACGCCUGCAGAUGUCAUAUAUUGCUUCGUUAUCGAGAAGAACAGCGACAUCAGUGUGCUCAAGGAGUGAAUGAGUGGACAGCACACUGUUGUAAGGCUCUACAACUGAUGUAGAAACCUGAGGUGAAGGAUAGACGGUGAAACCAAGCUUCGACUUCUUUCCAUAGUCAACAGAGAGACGCUCCAAGAGAAGAGAUCCAAGACCAGAACCAGUACCACCACCAACAGCAUUGAAAACCAAGAAGCCUUGGAGCCCAGUACAGUUAUCAGCAAGCUUUCGGAUACGAUCCAAGCAGAGAUCAACAAUCUCUUUGCCAAUUGUAUAAUGGCCACGAGCGAAAUUGUUGGCAGC
rnacentral:lncRNA from 1 species